rnacentral:lncRNA from 1 species
GGAAGUACCUAUCUAGCACGAGCUCAGAUGAGCUCUUUAUCCACAUCGCCGGUUCCCAUAAAGAUUCGUGCCAACAACUGUCUGGUUCUCUGUAUAGCGACCCGUAUUUCUCUUUUUCGCUGCGCACUGGCCCACCAUUGUUGGUUCAUGGAUGUCAUGGCCCCCCGCUAGAGCCCUGCCCGCCCAGACGGCAUCUAACGGAAUGGGCCACGGCUCAGCUCCAUCUUUUAGUCCUGGUAGUACUGCGGCAGAUUCCCGUCCCCUCUCACCUGAAAAAAACACGUAUGCAUCAAGGGCAUCUUUGGUCCACCAUUUGACUAAAAGUUAUCUGUUUCAUACGGAUAAAGCCCAGCACCUGCUGAUCGAAAAUUCAUAUUAUCAAAUACUACGAGUUCAGGUGAAGAUGAAAAUUCAUAUGCAUCAAGGAGUACGAACUAAUCAAUUAAUCCCUACACCGUUCAGCAUUGCUCAUUCUACGAGUAUAGCAUCGACCCAACAUAAAAGUCUAAUGGCAUACCACAAAAUGCCAAUGUCAGGCGACCUCCUUGGAGGUCGUUAAAAAUAAUAAUAUCAGAAAACAUAUUUUGAAGUUUCAAAAAAAUCUGAAAAAAAUCAUACAUGUUUACAUUGAUGUAUUCUACAUGUGUGUAAAUUUUAAAGAUGAAAUAUAUUACGGCCAGAGCUACACAAAAAGACAAAUCGUAAUUUUCAAACUGAUGAACAGUGCAAACACUGUUUACUAUUAGAAAUGCAGGAUUUUCUCUUUUUUAUGUAGCUCUCGCCAUAAUGUAUUUCAGUGUCAGAUUUUAUACACAUGUAGAAUACAUCCAUAUGAAUGUGUAGAAUUUUUUUUCACAAAAUUUUGAAACUCCAAAAUGUAAUUUAUCAAAAUUUUCAAUAUAUCCACCUACAUGGAGGUCGCCCGCCAAAAGCCCGCAUCCAAUGGCAUACACCUUUUUUCAACACAUGGCCACAAAGGAGUCCCAUGUGAGCAAACCGUCAACACUCGCAGUCAAACUCUUCACCUCCAUCUCUGCACCACUUC